AACCUGUGAUGAACAGAUUCUGCCAAAUGAAUCCAGCUGAUUAUACUCCUUACCGUUCCAUUUAUUCUGAGGUU